GAUGAACGCUGACAGAAUGCUUAACACAUGCAAGUCAACUGGAAUUUGGGUUUUUAACUUAGGUUUGGGUGGCGGACGGGUGAGUAACGCGUAAAGAACUUGCCUCACAGCUAGGGACACCAUUUGGAAACGAAUGCUAAUACCCAAUAUUAUGAUAAUAGGGCAUCCUAUAAUUAUGAAAGCUAUAAGCGCUGUGAGAGAGCUUUGCGUCGCAUUAGCUAGUUGGAGAGGUAACGGCUCACCAAGGCGAAGAUGGGUAGCCGGCCUGAGAGGGUGAUCAGCCGCACUGGAAGGGAGACAGGGAACAGACUCCUAGGGGAGGCAGCAGUGGGGAAUAGUGGACAAUGGGUGGAAGAUUGAGGAAGCCAUGCCGCGUGUGUGAAGAAGGUCUUCGGAGUGUAAAGCAAUUUUAGUUGGAAGGAAGGGCAGUAAGUUAAGACAUUGCUGAUUUGACGUUACCAACAGAAUAAGCACCGGCUAAAUCCGUG
rnacentral:rRNA from 1 species